rnacentral:rRNA from 1 species
AUUGAACGCUGGCGGCAGGCCUAACACAUGCAAGUCGAGCGAGCGGCGGACGUGUGAGUAAUGUAUGGGGACUGCCCAAUACAGGGGGAUAACUAAUGGAAACGGUGGCUAAUAACGCAUACUAUCGGAUAACCCAUAUGGGAUUAGCUAUUAGGUGGGGACAAGGCUCACCUAGGCGACGAGCUCUAGCUGGUCUGAGAGGAUGAUCAGCCACACUGGGACUGGGACCCGGGCCCGACUCCUACGGAGGCAACAGUGGGGGAUAUUGCCCGCUGGGCGCAAGCCUGAUGCAGCCAUGCCGCGUGUAUGAAGAAGGCCUUAGGGUUGUAAAGUACUUUCACCAUCGACGCGGUAGAUGGAGAAGAAGCACCGGCUAACUACGUGCCAGCAGCCGCGGUAAUAC